rnacentral:rRNA from 1 species
AAUCAACGCUGGCGGCGUGCCUCAGACAUGCAAGUCGAACGCGAAAGUCCCCUUCGGGGGGCAAGUAGAGUGGCGCACGGGUGAGUAACACGUAGGUAAUCUACCUUUGGAUGGGGAAUAACAACCGGAAACGGUUGCUAAUACCGCAUAAUGCAGCGGCACCUAAUGGUGACAGUUGUUAAAGCGGGGGAUCGAAAGACCUCGCGUCUGAAGAGGAGCCUGCGGCGGAUUAGCAGUUGGUAAGGUAACGGCUUACCAAGGCAACGAUCCGUAGCCGGCCUGAGAGGGCGGUCGGCCACACUGACACUGACAUACGGGUCAGACUCCUACGGGAGGCAGCAGUCGGGAAUUUUGGGCAAUGGGCGAAAGCCUGACCCAGCAACGCCGCGUGAA